UACGGGGGGAGCAAGCGUUGUUCGGAUUUACUGGGCGUAAAGGGCGCGUAGGCGGCCAGCACAAGUCAGUUGUGAAAUCUCCGGGCUUAACUCGGAAAGGUCAACUGAUACUGUGCGGCUAGAGUGCAGAAGGGGCAACUGGAAUUCUCGGUGUAGCGGUGAAAUGCGUAGAUAUCGAGAGGAACACCUGCGGCGAAGGCGGGUUGCUGGGCUGACACUGACGCUGAUGCGCGAAAGCCAGGGGAGCGAAGCGGG
rnacentral:rRNA from 1 species